GUUGUCAUUAAAUUCAAAUGGAGAUUUCAUUUGAUUUGCAUACAGAUUAAAAAGAUGAUGGCUGCAAAUGGAAAUUACUUGAUUUCAACAUAAUUUCAAAUUUUGACAGUGAACUUGUUGUUGGUUUCUUUGAAAUAUCAUAAAAAUUCAUCUGCUUGACAGUAAAAGUUCGCAUCUAGUUUUCAUUGUGAAACAUGCAGCUGACAAAUUGCAGAAGAAACAAACGUUACAAAAAUGCAUUGCUGAAGUGGCAAAAAAUUGAAAAGAUUUCAUGAAAAGAAAACUUUUACAGAAGCACAUGUUAGGAGGGGUGGUUAUUUUAUGACAGAGUCAGGAGGGGUGAAUGCUUUAACAAAAGCAAUUUAGAGCAAGGAUGGUUACUUCAUAAGUUGAAGAAGUUAUGAAAUAUGUCCUUUGUAAUCAUUGGUUCCCUGUUGUUUGUCUUUGUUCUCCAGUUCAUGAAUGACAUGAUCAUUAAAUGAUUGGUGUUAACAGUUGCAUCAUAAUUGGUUAUUUCAAAAGUUAGCAAGAUAUUUUUUUGUUGAAUCAUUGCCUGGUUGCACACAUGCACAUAGCCAAAAACUUGGUACUUUUG